rnacentral:misc_RNA from 1 species
UUUCCGUAGGUGAACCUGCGGAAGGAUCAUUAAAGAGUAAGGGUGCUCAGCGCCCGACCUCCAACCCUUUUGUGAACCACCUCGUUGCUUCGGGGGCGACCCUGCCGUUCGCGGCGUGGGGCCCCCGGAGCCCAUCAAACCCUGCGUAACUAAGUCGUCGGAGUUUAAACAAAUUAAACAAAACUUUCAACAACGGAUCUCUUGGUUCGGGCAUCGAUGAAGAACGCAGC